rnacentral:rRNA from 1 species
GCUCCAUCCAUCACUGAUGCUUUGAACAAAGUUGUGGAAGAAGCAUUCUCUUUUUAUCCAAAGGCAAUCCGAGGGCUCAACAGGCCAGGAGAUUUUCAACAUUUGCUUCACUUGUGUCAUAUGUAUCUUAGGCCUAAUCCAAAGGUGGAUAAUAGCCAUCAUUAUCAGGUUGGACCUCAGUACAUUUAUAGGUUUUUUAGUUUCGGAUGGAGAUAUUUUAGACUCGGUCAUCAUCCUGAGGUCAACGAGAAGGAGGAUUCCCUACAAUCAGGUCAAGAACUGAAUCGAUGGAGGCGGGCGGCACAAUAUCUAGAGGCAGGAGUCAAGUUUAAGAAACGCGAAUACGAUAAUAUGGAUCCUCAUUCUCUCUUAGACAUUAAGUUUAGCAAUGGUUCCAUUGAAAUUCCAUCCCUUGUUGUUGAUGAAUAUUCAGGCAGUCUUUUCAGGAAUAUCAUUGCAUUUGAGCAAACAUGUCCUCAGUUUGGAGAUGACUUCACAGCUUACAUUGUCUUCCUGUCACAGAUUAUUUGUAUGCCAGAAGAUGUAACACUACUUGUUGAAAGAGAAAUAAUUGUGCACCAACUUGAGAGCGACGAACAUGUCUCUGAUCUAUUUACCAUGCUUAGUAAAGAUGUUGUGUUUGAUUUCAAUGGUAUGCAUUACUUAAAAUCACUUUGUCAGGCUAUGGAAGAAUUCUACCAGAGUCGCCUGAACCGAUGGAUUGCGUGGCUCUUGAUGAAUCAUUUCAGUAAUCCGUGGUUGGCCUUAGCUGCAGUAGCGACGGGUGUUGUGCUUGCCUGCACCAUCGUGCAAACCAUCUUCACUAUCGAAGCAUACAGGAAACCCCCUGGUCAUGAGUAA